UUCCGCAAUGGGCGAAAGCCGACGGAGCAAGACCGCGUGGGGGAAGAAGGCUCUUGGGUUGUAAACCCCUUUUCUCUGGGAAGAACGCAAUGACGGUACCAGAGGAAUCAGCAUCGGCUAACUCCGUGCCAGCAGCCGCGGUAAGACGGAGGAUGCAAGCGUUAUCCGGAAUGAUUGGGCGUAAAGCGUCCGCAGGUGGCAGUUCAAGUCUGCUGUCAAAGACCGGGGCUCAACCUCGGAAAGGCAGUGGAAACUGAACAGCUAGAGUAUGGUAGGGGCAAAGGGAAUUCCUGGUGUAGCGGUGAAAUGCGUAGAGAUCAGGAAGAACAUCGGUGGCGAAGGCGCUUUGCUGGACCAUAACUGACACUCAGGGACGAAAGCUAGGGGAGCGAAUGGGAUUAGAUACCCCAGUAGUCCUAGCCGUAAACGAUGGAUACUAGGUGUUGUCUGUAUCGACCCGGACAGUGCCGUAGCUAACGCGUUAAGUAUCCCGCCUGGGGAGUACGCACGCAAGUGUG
rnacentral:rRNA from 1 species